rnacentral:lncRNA from 1 species
AAGUGAUUGGCUUCUAAAUCUCAAAUUUCUCUUUUAUAUAAAGAAUUCCUAAUGCUCAAGGUGAAACACUAAGUGAAGUUGUAGCUAAAGUGAACAAGAGUGGAAUGAGAGCUUUUGUGCUAUGAAGGAAAAUUAGCCCUAUCAUUAUGAAAUCAUUCUACAAAAUCUGUAGGAUAAAACAUGAUAGAAGUGCUUGAAGAGACAGAAUAAUGGAAUAAAAUACAAUGUCCAAAAUAGACACAAAUGCAUAAGGAAAUUUAGAAGAUGAUCAUGGCACCAUAUCAAGGCAUGAGGCAGAGGGACAGUUCACUGAAUGUUGAUGGUGAAAGCUGAAUAUCCUAUGGAAAAAAAGUGAAAAUAGGUCCAGACCUCAUAUGAUCCAUAAGAAUAAACCUCAAACACAUCAUAGAUAAAAAUGUAAAAACUAUUUGAUGGUUUUGUUCUUGAUUUGGUUAAGCUGGGGCUAUACUUUGUAAAUCAUCUUUUAAAAGUAGGUUCAGGUUAGAAUAGGCCAAAAGAUGAACUUGUGAAACUCUGGGAGGUAAGGUAAAGUAGUAGCUACUCUGCUCCAAGUCUCCACAAUCUAUUAUGAUGGGGGAUGGGUAGACAGUGCCUGGUAAGUUUCAGCUAGUUUUUGUCCUCUAUUCUCUUGCAGGCCAAUAGCAGUCCCAGGUCCAUCAACAGAUGUCCAGUAGCAAUUACAGGCAGGUAACAUCUACCCCCACAGGCCCCUUCCACAAAUUCCCCCUUCAGAAUCCUACUUUGGGCACAGCUUCUUCUGCAGGCUCCAGCUUGCUCACCUGUGUUGGUGUUUCAGGACAGUAAGAAGAGAACAUCCAGCACAACACGGCCUUCAGAAACAAGCUAAUGGAACAAUUUGGUGUCAAUUUCACAGCUCAGUGAAGUGAAAGUGAUCUAACUGGCCAUCGACACACACCUAGAAGGAGGUCUAAGAAUGACAAGAAAAAGGAAGACCAAGUCUCACAAAUUAGUAAAAAUAAGACAGGAUAAAAGGCAGGAAUGUGCUAGACUUCAAUGGAAAUUUUUUUUUUAAAGGAAAAAGAUUCUGCACACCCCAGUACCUAGAGAGGAUGAAAAUAUAUCUCUUGAAAGCACACAGCGUGCAGCACACACGAAAGCAGUGGGGAACUUAAUGAGCUCUCUGGUUAAACAUAACAUCUGCCUG